GUAAAGCUUGGCUCUGACUUAUAUGUACGACGAAGAUAAGGAAAUACACAUGGCACUUUUCUGUAGAGGUGAGGAUAAAUAACACAAGAAUUUAAAUACAAAAUCUAAAUUCUUUUGUUCCCAUUAGUAUUAUAAAUUGUAUUAUGCUUUGUUACGUCCCACUAACACCAGUGAUUAAUAUUAAAUUAAAAGCGUAAGCUUGACUUAGGCUAAUCCAGAAGGUCUGGUUAACUUGGUGCCAGCAUCCGCGGUUAUACCAAGAAGACCGAGUUGUACUUAAUACGGUGAAAAGACAGUUAGGCAUAUAAUCUGCUAUUAGAUUUUCCAUUUAAGGGUGCAAUCUGAAUUUGGAUAAAAAUUCUGUAAAUAGCAUAUAAGCUGAGGCUGUGAAGAUCUAGAGGGAAACUAGGAUUAGAUACCCUAUUAUUCUUGAUAGUAAACUGAAAUUAUUAUAUCUACCAGAGUACUACGAAAAAUAAUAAAAUUUAAAACUCAAAGGGCUUGGCGGUGCUUUAGACCACUUAGGGGAACCUGUCUCAUAAUCGACAAUCCACGAGAUACCCCACCUUUACUUGCUUUCAGUAUGUAUACCGUCGUCGGCAGGUAACUUUUAAGAAAUAAGAAGUUAGCAAAAUAAGACAAUAUAGUUCAAUUAUCUACUACGUCAGAUCAUGGUGCAGCUAAUGUAAAGGAGAGGAUGGGUUACAAUUAAAAUUCAUAACUACGAAAGAGAACAAGAAUUAUUUUCUCGGAAGGAGGACUUAAAAGUAAAUGUAAUUAGAUAAAUUCAUUGAAUAAGGCUCUGAAGCGUGCACACAUCGCCCGUCGCUCUCGUUGAAAAAUGAGAUAAGUCGUAACAUAGUAGGAGUAAUGGAAAUUGCUCCUUGCUGA
rnacentral:ncRNA from 1 species